rnacentral:rRNA from 1 species
CACGUAGGCACCAAGCGUUGUCCGGAUUUAUUGGGCGUAAAGAGCUCGUAGGCGGUUCAGUAAGUCGGGUGUGAAAACUCAGGGCUCAACCCUGAGCGGCCACCCGAUACUGCUGUGACUUGAGUCCGGUAGGGGAGUGGGGAAUUCCUGGUGUAGCGGUGAAAUGCGCAGAUAUCAGGAGGAACACCGGUGGCGAAGGCGCCACUCUGGGCCGAGACUGACGCUGAGGAGCGAAAGCGUGGGGAGCGAACAGG